CCUCUCGCGCACGAUCCCCUCUCCACUUCUCCCCCAACCGCGCGCGUUGAUUCUGCAAUGGCUCCCACUUCGCCCCACUCCGCCACUCCUUUGUUUCUGGCUCCCGGCUCCAUCUCUUCCCCCUUAGGUGAAUCGAGGCGGAAUCGCGGGCAACUCUGCUUCUUCCACGGCGAAUCGAGGCGGGGGCUGCGGGUUGCUUCUGUGGCAGUCGGCGACCCAAUUCCUGCCGGUGAGAUUCCUACCCCACUUGGUGUUUGCGGCGUGGGGUAAACACGGGGUUCCGCAGAGGAUUUUUGGAGAGCGCAUACUAUUUUUUGGAGAGUGCAGCAAGCAUUUUGUUCAGGGGUGUUAGGUUGUUUGAGAUUGACGGGCCGAAAGAGUUUGAUGUGUUGUGGGUUCGUUCCAUUUUUGUCUGACGCUGGGGUGGUAUUGUAGUUUAGGCGUAGAUGGUGAGAACCCGCAAUAGCUUAAUCCAGAUUAGUCGUCGGCGGGUGGUGGAUAGGGUCUGAUUUCCCCCGCAGUUUAAGCUCGAUUUGGUCGGGUAGGGUGGGUGCUUGUUGGUUCCUGACUUGUUUUUUGGUUCAAUCCGACAGUGUACUUAGAUUUUUGUUGUGUGUGAGUGCAUGGAUUUCUCGUUUGGCACUUGGAUUUCCACAAACUGAGGAAGUUUGUUUUGAGAUUCUGGAUUGGUUAGUUCCUACUGGGUGGUGAAUUUUUGUAUGUGGAACUGAACUCUAUACCCAAUCCCCUCCUUGAUGUGUUUUGGUUGUAGAUGUGCCAUGAGGUAUUGGUCAAGGUUCUAGUCUAAUUCUUAAUUAUUGCAACAAAAAUCUGUGCAUAAUGCUUAUCUACCAGGGUCUGUUGCUUGAAAUUACCACUGGAUUUGUUAGUGGUUACCAUGAAAUUGCGUGCUAGUUCUCAUGCUUCAAAUCGAGCAUAAUGCUUUAUUUUUUUACCAUGUCCCUUUGUUUGUCAUUACCACUGUAUUUUUGUUAGUGGUUACCUUGAAAUCCCACGCUAGUUCACUUGCUUCAGAUAUAACAUAAUGCUUGAUAUUUACCAUGGCUUAUUGCUUGAAAUUACCACUGUAUUUGUUAGUGGUUAUCAUCAAAUUCCUCUCUUAUUUUCAAUUUUCUUUUCAAUUAUGAUUGGCUUAUUGCUUGUUAAUUUUUCUUGUUUAAUGUUAGUAGUUUAAUGGAAGCUCCAUUUGAAUUUAAAGAGACAUUCAUGAUUUGUUUUGUAGAUGUAUUUAGUUAUUGUGACAUUUUUCGCUAUGACAAUAUGCAUUUAGACUAAAAAAUGCAUUUAUUGUCAGUCCAUGAGUAUCAAUUUCUCUGUUUGUUGUUUGUGUGCCCGUUAUUGUUAUCAUGAUCUUCUUCUUUCCACGGGUAUUAUAUUGGCAUGUACUUUUGUUGCUUUUCUGUAACAUGCGUAUUAUGUGGGAAUUAUCUUGUUGUCUGAAUGUUAAGUACCAGUGGUAUUAGUAAUAAGAUUCAAUGUCAAUUAAGAAAGUUAUCAUGGCUGAUAAGUUCAAAUUACCAGUCACUUGCAUACAAGUUACCACAAUUAUUUUUACCAGGUUAUGGCUUGAUGUGUCUUUUAGUUCAGCUCUUUAAGCUGGUGUCAUUUUUUUCAUUGUUAUUCCUUAAAUGUUUUGUUUCUUUUUACAUGGCAGGGCGUGCUCUUUAUUUGCUCUUAAUGAUGGGGAGUUCAGAAGUUACCUAUGAAGAUGUUUUCCGGAGUGGACAUCCCCGCCGUCAGCAUCGUUGGAGUACGCCAUGGACCAAUAGGGCUUGUCACCAACGUUCAGUACAAGACAAAAUCGAAUGGACGCAUAUCCUUCUAUGAGUCCGGCUGGCGGGAGUUCUUGACGGGAAAGAGAGAACUACGGCUAGACACCCUUGUGAUAAUCACCAUAAGGAAGAGCAACCGCAACGACUUUCAGAUGAUGGUUGUCGUUGACCAUGUUUAGAAAUAUGGUUUAAGUCAUGAAUAUAUCAGCAGCUGAAGUGUUAGUUAAUUAGUAUGUUAAUAUGGAUGUGAUCGAUACAUUGAUAUAUUUGUUUCUUGAGUCGAACAAAUUUGAACUGUUACUUAAUUAUUUGGCCAUUUGUUUCCAAAAUGAUUCAAUCUGGUUCAGUUACAUUGAGAAUCAUAUGACUAUGGCUUUUGGAGUAAUGUGUGUCAACCCG
rnacentral:lncRNA from 1 species